rnacentral:rRNA from 1 species
CGCACGGGUGAGUAACGCGUAACUGACCUACCUCCAAGUUCAGCAUAACGUCUCGAAAGAGACGCUAAUUCUGAAUGUGAUCCCACCUCGUGUGGUGUGAUUAAAGAACUUCGCUUGGAGAUGGGGUUGCGUUCCAUCAGCUAGUUGGUGGGGUAAAGGCCUACCAAGGCGACGACGGAUCACCGGCCUGAGAGGGUGGCCGGUCACAGGGGCACUGAGACACGGGUCCC